rnacentral:rRNA from 1 species
UACGUAGGGGGCAAGCGUUGUCCGGAAUUAUUGGGCGUAAAGCGCGCGCAGGUGGUUCCUUAAGUCUGAUGUGAAAGCCCACGGCUCAACCGUGGAGGGUCAUUGGAAACUGGGGGACUUGAGUGCAGAAGAGGAAAGUGGAAUUCCACGUGUAGCGGUGAAAUGCGUAGAGAUGUGGAGGAACACCAGUGGCGAAGGCGACUUUCUGGUCUGUAACUGACACUGAGGCGCGAAAGCGUGGGGAGCGAACAGG